AUCAUGAAGUUGCCCAGGCUGAGUGGGAACUUGUGAUCCCUUUGCCUCUCCUUCCCAGAGUACUGGGAUUACAGGUAGGUGGAAGCUACUUUUUUUUUUUUUUUCUGUUACCAGGGAUUGAACUCCAGACCUUGCACUUCUGAGGCAGGCGGCGGCACCACUGAGCUAAAUCCCCUGCCCUUGGAAGCUACUUUUUAAAAGGCCAAAUCCUAAAAUCUCUGCAGAUUUUGGAUAUUUACAGUGAGCGAAUAUGUAAGGAUUUCAGGUGGAUCAAUCAGAGAUAGCAGCAAGAAAGUGUAGGCAGCGAUACAGACUAAGAUGGAGAAAGCACCCAGACCCCUGGACUCUGCUGUAUAUAGCAGGCUUUGGGUUGAAGCAAACUGCUGUAUUUAAUGCCAGCUCUUUAAGAUCCAGCCACCAACAAAAGCCACACUCAACAGGCCUAUGUCUACACCGUGGAGGACAAGCUUUCUCCUUUCCAGGCUGUGGUUAAACUUGUCAGGAGCCUGUGCCUAGCCUGCACCCUCUGUGCAGCUGUCUCCCUUGGCUGGCUCUCAACAAGUCACUGUGGGACUGUAACACUGGAAAUCCUGAAGCACACUUAUUCAGUGGCUCAGUCUU
rnacentral:lncRNA from 1 species